rnacentral:rRNA from 1 species
AGGACGAACGCUGGCGGCGUGCUUAACACAUGCAAGUCGAGCGGUAAGGCUCCUUCGGGAGUACACGAGCGGCGAACGGGUGAGUAACACGUGAGCAAUCUGCCCUUCACUUCGGGAUAACUCCGGGAAACCGGUGCUAAUACCGAAUACGACCACUUCAGGCAUCUGAUGGUGGUGGAAAGUUCCGGCGGUGAAGGAUGAGCUCGCGGCCUAUCAGCUAGUUGGUGGGGCAAUGGCCUACCAAGGCAACGACGGGUAGCCGGCCUGAGAGGACGACCAGUCACACUGGAACUGAGACACGGUCCAGACACCUACGGGUGGCAGCAGUCGAGAAUUUUUCUCAAUGGGGGAAACCCUGAAGGAGCGACGCCGCGUGGAGGAUGAAGGCUUUCGGGUGUAAACUCCUGUCAUUUGGGAACAAGGUGCACCGGUUAACUGCCGGCGUAUUGAUAGUACCAGAAGAGGAAGAGACGGCUAACUCUGUGCCAGCAGCCGC